rnacentral:rRNA from 1 species
UACGUAGGGAGCAAGCGUUGUCCGGAAUCAUUGGGCGUAAAGCGCGCGUAGGUGGCCUCAUAAGUCCGUUGUGAAAGUCAAAGGCUCAACCUUUGAAAGCCGAUGGAUACUGUGAGACUAGAGUACGGAAGAGGCGAGUGGAAUUCCUGGUGUAGCGGUGAAAUGCGCAGAUAUCAGGAGGAACACCAAUUGCGAAGGCAGCUCGCUGGGACGUCACUGACGCUGAGACGCGAAAGCGUGGGGAGCAAACAGG